GACGAACGCUGGCGGCGUGCUUAACACAUGCAAGUCGAACGGAAAGGCCCUGCUUUUGUGGGGUGCUCGAGUGGCGAACGGGUGAGUAACACGUGAGUAACCUGCCCUUGACUUUGGGAUAACUUCAGGAAACUGGGGCUAAUACCGGAUAGGAGCUCCUGCUGCAUGGUGGGGGUUGGAAAGUUUCGGCGGUUGGGGAUGGACUCGCGGCUUAUCAGCUUGUUGGUGGGGUAGUGGCUUACCAAGGCUUUGACGGGUAGCCGGCCUGAGAGGGUGACCGGCCACAUUGGGACUGAGAGACGGCCCAGACUCCUACGGGAGGCAGCAGGGGGGAAUAUUGCACAAUGGGCGGAAGCCUGAUGCAGCAACGCCGCGUGCGGGAUGACGGCCUGCGGGUUGUAAACCGCUUUCGCCUGUGACGAAGCGUGAGUGACGGUAAUGGGUAAAGAAGCACCGGCUAACUACGUG
rnacentral:rRNA from 1 species